CUGGGUGUAGCGCAGUUGGUAGCGCGCCAGAAUGGGGUUCUGGAGGUCGCUGGUUCAAAUCCAGUCACUCAGACCA
rnacentral:tRNA from 1 species